CUCCUCUCUUUGCUGCAAGGAAGAUUGCUUCUCCCCAGAGCGAGCCAGAAAAGAGAUAGGGAUGACUGAUCCUGACACACACCUUGCCCAAGGCCCAGAUUUUAUCAUCCUAUUCCAAGUCCUGUUCAGCCACGAGUGGUCUUGUUAACUCAGUCCAUCAAGGAGAAGCUGAUUGAUAACUGCUCAUCCUUUGAACCAUGUUUUGCUUCUUUACACCCUUUUGUGAGAUGGUAAAGAAGGAGAAAAGCAGCGCAGCAAGUGGCAAUCUUAAUGUCAUUCCAUAAUUGCCCAUUUGGAAGGAGGUUUCCUGGAUAAGAUGGACUGAGUAGCAGCAAGAAAAUAAUUACUGUGGGUUACUGAACACCACUAUUUCUGUGUGUCAACCUGAGCACAGUUGAGAUAGUUUUGCAUUGCUAUUGUCUUAAAGCAGUUACAGAAGAAAGCUUCUAAGGCUCUUGUUGGGGCAGCUCCCAACACACCCAACCCCAGCUCACGUCUGAUUGCAAAGGUUCUAGAUGCCAUUCCUUUGUCAUUCCAUACUGAUGCUGCAGAAGGGCAGGCUUGGCGCUGCCUGCCAGGGCACGUGGAGUUGUUAAGAACAUUUAUGUGCAUUUGACAAGAAACUUCUGCUGCCCAAGGAGGCUCCCAGCUCCCCCACGAGCUGUGGUGCUCCCACAGGCCCCUCAUGCCCUGGCCUGAUGGGGAGUGAGGGACAAGUGUAGUGCCAGUGUGACUGGCCCAGAGAGUCAUUUAAAAUACCUCCCAUGCAGAUUCUGCACAGAAGCGCUGCCACCUCCAUAAAUAUUCAUGGGAAGCAAAUACAAGAGGAAUUUGUGCAAAGUGAAUACAUUUUAAAAGGGCUGCAUGAAAUAUUCAGAGGAAAUAUGUCCAGCAUGAACUAGAGGCCCAAACCUGGGAGUUACUGACACAUUCCCUCAGCACUAAGCACCUGAGACAGGCCUUGGUCUGCAGCAGAACAAGUUCAGUACUUUGUGGUUUACAGCCCUUCCAGACUGCUUGGGCCAGAGAUACUCUGCAGGAAGCUCUUAAAGCACUCCCUGACUUCUGGUACUGCCAUAGGUCACAGCCAGAUAUUCAGUGAGACUAAUGUGGAACUCCCCUGGUUAAAUAGAACAAAUGGAACAAUAUGAAUACAGUUUUGCUAAUAAAAUGAGAAUUUUGUUACACAUUUAAGUAAUUUUUCACUAAAAACACAGCCCAAGUAGUAAAUCCAAUGAUAAAAGAGAAAGGUAGUGUCAUGUUUGGUUGUAGGAAUGCUAAGCUGUAUUUUUCUGAUCUCUUCUCAGAACUAUCUUUAAGCAGGAUUAAGAUUUAUUG